GCAUAUCAAUAAGCGGAGGAAAAAGAAACCAACAGGGAUUGCCCUAGUAACGGCGAGUGAAGCGGCAACAGCUCAAAUUUGAAAGCUGGCUCUCGGGCCCGCAUUGUAAUUUGCAGAGGAUGCUUCUGGCGACGCGCCUUCCGAGUUCCCUGGAACGGGACGCCAUAGAGGGUGAGAGCCCCGUCCGGUCGUGCGCCUAGCCUCUGUGAAGCUCCUUCGACGAGUCGAGUAGUUUGGGAAUGCUGCUCAAAAUGGGAGGUAUACGUCUUCUAAAGCUAAAUACCGGCCAGAGACCGAUAGCGCACAAGUAGAGUGAUCGAAAGAUGAAAAGCACUUUGAAAAGAGAGUUAAAAAGUACGUGAAAUUGUUGAAAGGGAAGCGCUCAUGACCAGACUUGGGCUGGCUCGAUCAUCCGGCGUUCUCGCCGGUGCACUCGGGCCGCUCAGGCCAGCAUCAGCUUCCGCCGGGGGAUAAAGGCGGUGGGAAUGUGGCUCCCUCGGGAGUGUUAUAGCCCGCCGUGCAAUACCCUGGUGGGGGCUGAGGUUCGCGCGUAUGCACGGAUGCUGGCGUAAUGGUCAUCAGCGACCCGUCUUGAAACACGGACCAAGGAGUCGUCUUCGUAUGCGAGUGUUCGGGUGUCAAACCCCUACGCGGAAUGAAAGUGAACGCUGGUGAGAGCUUCGGCGCAUCACCGACCGAUCCUGAUGUUCUCGGAUGGAUUUGAGUAAGAGCAUACGGGGCCGGACCCGAAAGAAGGUGAACUAUGCCUGUAUAGGGUGAAGCCAGAGGAAACUCUGGUGGAGGCUCGCAGCGGUUCUGACGUGCAAAUCGAUCGUCAAAUAUGGGCAUGGGGGCGAAAGACUAAUCGAAACCUUUCUAGUAGCUGGUUUCCGCCGAAG
rnacentral:rRNA from 1 species